UCAGGAUGAACGCUGGCGGCGUGCUUAACACAUGCAAGUCGAACGGUGAAGCCCCGCUUGCGGGGUGGAUCAGUGGCGAACGGGUGAGUAACACGUGAGCAACCUGCCCCUGACUCUGGGAUAAGCGCUGGAAACGGCGUCUAAUACUGGAUACGAACCGCAGCCGCAUGGCUCGUGGUUGGAAAGAUUUUUUGGUUGGGGAUGGGCUCGCGGCCUAUCAGCUUGUUGGUGAGGUAAUGGCUCACCAAGGCGUCGACGGGUAGCCGGCCUGAGAGGGUGACCGGCCACACUGGGACUGAGACACGGCCCAGACUCCUACGGGAGGCAGCWGUGGGGAAUAUUGCACAAUGGGCGAAAGCCUGAUGCAGCAACGCCGCGUGAGGGACGACGGCCUUCGGGUUGUAAACCUCUUUUAGCAAGGAAGAAGCGAAAGU
rnacentral:rRNA from 1 species